rnacentral:rRNA from 1 species
ACGGCUCAGUAACACGUAGUCAACCUAACUCGUGGACGUGGAUAACCUCGGGAAACUGAGAAUAAACCACGAUAGAUCAUAGUGCCUGGAAUGGCUUAUGGUCCAAACAGUUUACUGCCAUGGGAUGGGACUGCGGCCUAUCAGCUUGUUGGUGAGGUAAUGGCCCACCAAGGCGAUUACAGGUACGGGCUCUGAGAGGAGAAGCCCGGAGAUGGGUACUGAGACACGGACCCAGGCCCUAUGGGGCGCAGCAGGCGAGAAACCUUAGCAAUGUGCGAAAGCACGACUGGGUCAGUCCGAGUGAUUCCUGAUAAAGGAGUCUUUUACUUGUCCUAAAAGCACAGGUGAAUAAGGGGUGGGCAAGUCUGGUGUCAGCCGCCGCGGUAAUACCAGCACCUCGAGUGGUCAGGACGUUUAUUGGGCCUAAAGCAUCCGUAGCCGGCUCUGCAAGUCUUCGGUUAAAUCCACCUGCUCAACAGAUGGGCCGCUGGAGAUACUACAGAGCUAGGGAGUGGGAGAGGCAGACGGUAUUCAGUGGGUAGGGGUAAAAUCCUCUGAUCCAUUGAGGACCACCAGUGGCGAAGGCGGUCUGCCAGAACACGUUCGACGGUGAGGGAUGAAAGCUGGGGGAGCAAACCGGAUUAGAUACCCGGGUAGUCCCAGCUGUAAACGAUGCAAACUCGGUGAUGCAUUGGCUUAUGGCCAAUGCAGUGCCGCAGGGAAGCCGUUAAGUUUGCCGCCUGGGAAGUACGGACGCAAGUCUGAAACUUAAAGGAAUUGGCGGGGGAG